AUUGAACGCUGGCGGCAGGCCUAACACAUGCAAGUCGAACGGUAACAGGUCUUCGGAUGCUGACGAGUGGCGAACGGGUGAGUAAUACAUCGGAACGUGCCUAGUAGUGGGGGAUAACUACUCGAAAGAGUGGCUAAUACCGCAUGAGAUCUACGGAUGAAAGCAGGGGAUCGCAAGACCUUGUGCUACUAGAGCGGCCGAUGGCAGAUUAGGUAGUUGGUGGGAUAAAAGCUUACCAAGCCGACGAUCUGUAGCUGGUCUGAGAGGACGAUCAGCCACACUGGGACUGAGACACGGCCCAGACUCCUACGGGAGGCAGCAGUGGGGAAUUUUGGACAAUGGGCGCAAGCCUGAUCCAGCAAUGCCGCGUGCAGGAUGAAGGCCUUCGGGUUGUAAACUGCUUUUGUACGGAACGAAAAGCCCUGGGUUAAUACCCUGGGGUCAUGACGGUACCGUAAGGAUAAGCACCGGCUAACUACGUGCCAGCAGCCGCGGUAACAC
rnacentral:rRNA from 1 species